CGAUCAGAAACGAAUUGAAUUGCACCGUGAUUUGGCAGAAAUUAUCUUUAUUGUAAAAUACGUUUUUUCUCGCAUUUAUUGAAUUCGAUUCAGACUUAAACCUAUAUCUAAAAAACUAUUGCGGACAGACAGACAGUUAGGGAAACAGAUUAAAAGGAACUAUAAACGUAAGUAAUUAUUGAAAUAAUGCGUAAAAUAUGUUCAAAACUUAUUGAAAUACACUUCCGCAGCUUAAAGCAUUAUCCCAGAAA